UACGGGGGGGGCAAGCGUUGUUCGGAAUUACUGGGCGUAAAGGGCGCGUAGGCGGCCUUCUAAGUCGAACGUGAAAUCCCUCGGCUUAACCGGGGAACUGCGUCUGAUACUGGAUGGCUCGAGAUUGGGAGAGGGAUGCGGAAUUCCAGGUGUAGCGGUGAAAUGCGUAGAUAUCUGGAGGAACACCGGUGGCGAAGGCGGCAUCCUGGACCAACACUGACGCUGAGGAGCGAAAGCCAGGGGAGCAAACGGG
rnacentral:rRNA from 1 species